rnacentral:rRNA from 1 species
CCCUUAGAUGUCCUGGGCCGCACGCGCGCUACACUGAACGGAUCAGCGCGUUUUCCCUUCCCGAGAGGGACGGGUAACCUGCUGAACCCCGUUCGUGGUAGGGAUCGGGGCUUGCAAUUAUUCCCCGUGAACCAGGAAUGCCCAGUAAGUGCAAGUCAUAAGCUUGCGUUGAUUACGUCCCUGCCCUUUGUACACACCGCCCGUCGCUCCUACCGAUUGGAUGUUCCGGUGAGGAUUCUGGACUUUGAGUUUAGUGUUUUGAGGUUCUGCUUCUUAACUCGCUCGAGGGAAAUUAUUCAAAUCUUAACAUUUAGAGGAAGGAGAAGUCGUAACA